GACGAACGCUGGCGGCGUGCUUAACACAUGCAAGUCGAACGGAAAGGCCCUGCUUUUGUGGGGUGCUCGAGUGGCGAACGGGUGAGUAACACGUGAGUAACCUGCCCUUGACUUUGGGAUAACUUCAGGAAACUGGGGCUAAUACCGGAUAGGAGCUCCUGCUGCAUGGUGGGGGUUGGAAAGUUUCGGCGGUUGGGGAUGGACUCGCGGCUUAUCAGCUUGUUGGUGGGGGAGUGGCUUACCAAGGCUUUGACGGGUAGCCGGCCUGAGAGGGUGACCGGCCACAUUGGGACUGAGAUACGGCCCAGACUCCUACGGGAGGCAGCAGUGGGGAAUAUUGCACAAUGGGCGGAAGCCUGAUGCAGCAACGCCGCGUGCGGGAUGACGGCCUUCGGGUUGUAAACCGCUUUCGCCUGUGACGAAGCGUGAGUGACGGUAAUGGGUAAAGAAGCACCGGCUAACUUCGUG
rnacentral:rRNA from 1 species